rnacentral:lncRNA from 1 species
AGAAUGAAAAGAAUCUGCUUUACUAAAAAUCCACCAAAGAUUAGAUAGUUUUUGCCCGAAACAGACCACACACUAGACUGGAAGAUUCAACAUCCACAUGAUCCAGCAACAAGAGGAAAGUGGCAUUGAUUCAGUUUCAAUGCACACUCUUACUUUUCCCUUACAAGGUGAUAUGAGAUGUUAAUGAUACUUUUAAGCAAAAAUUGAAUAUAAGUAGGUUUGAGACAGGUCACAGGUUUUGUUGCUUCAAUAAUUUUUGUUUUUACUGAAUCACCAGUAAGUUAACAUGGGAAACUAAUCUUUUACAUUUUCAAAACAUACUCAGAUACUUGUAUACAGGUGCUGAUGUACUAAGGCAAUUUCAAUCUAUAGAAUUACUGGUCCAUAUGUACCAUAUUUACAGUUUUUUGCAUGAUUUGAAUGUGAAUAGCUAUAUCAAUAAUUGUAUUAUUUUCUGCUGACAUAAGAGGAAGAUGUUUAGAUGAUUAAGGAUAUUAACUUAUUAUGGAAGACAUUUUUAUUUUAUUGUACUGAUUAAAAGGGUUAAUAGUUCAAUAAUAUUAUGACAGUAUACAGAUUCCCAAUUUACCUUUAAACUUAAUGUGCAUGACCUCCAGCAUUUUGUCCAGCCUAUUCUAUUAGUUUUACAUGCAUCUUCAUGUCAAGACUUAUUAUUUGGAGAAGGACAAGCAGAACAGUUUUUUCAAUGAAAUUAAUUUUAAAAAAAAAUGAAUAAUGUGUUACUAUUUAGUUUAGUAUUACAAUAUUAUUUAAAAAAAAAAAAUGUCCUUCACAUGGAAUAACUAAUAAUGGUAUAGACAAAAUAAUAUUCUUGACAGUGUUUUGUAGAGCAAGUUUAAUGUAGGGUUUUCUACAUACCCUAGUUAAAUUAUGUAUUUGUUUUCACUUAGUUAACUUAUGGGAUAACUAAAGUCUUUAUUUUAACUUUCUUUUUAUAGGGAUAUAUGUACCAAAAAGAGUUGGUCUAUGUGCUCAAAGAAAAGACAACAAUUGUGAUCAAGCUUUUUUUUUAGUCCUAUUUCUGAUGUUGAGAAGAAAGGUAUACUUUUCUCUUGUAUGACUAACGUAAUGUUCAUUGCUACUUUGACAAACUUUCAAUCAUGCUUAUUGUGAAGUGCAUAAAUUUCUUACUUAAGAGAACAAUUAAUGAUAUGAUCUGUAGCAAAACUUUAAAGGAUAACAUAGUCUUUAUAAUUAUGGGUGAGACUUUUCCAGUUUUAUAGAAUAGUAGAAAAAGUCUGUUUACCAUAUUAUGUAGUUGACAACAUCAUAUCACCAUCUAUAUUAUAUAAUAAUCUUAAAGGGAAGAAUGAUACUUUAUAAAAAAAAAAAAGAUGUGGUUUGGUUAUCAAUGAGACAACUCUCAAUCCACAACCAAAUGUACCGUAGUCAACAAUUUCUAAAAGUAUUGCAAUAUUGACCUCAUAUAAAUGCAAAUCCUCUGAGAAAAACUUAUUUUUAAGGAUUUGGUAUUGUAAGGAAUUUAAUGUGAUUCUUUAAAAUCAGUAUUUGUUUUUAUUGAUAUAUAUGUUCAAAAUGUUUAGGAAGGAGUGCAAUGUGUAUAUUAUAUUAAUGUGAAAUUUAGCGUAUAUUUUGUUGUUGUAAGAAAUCUCAUAUUAUGAGAUUUGUCUUGUAUAAGCCCCAAAACACUUAGGCCAAUGACUUUUUGCACAGUUGUUGUGCCUAUUAUAUUUUUUUGACAUUUGUCUCAUUAUUUUUUUGGUAAACUAAAUCUUAAAAAAUGUAAAGGCUCAAUUAAUUAACCCUGUCUAUCCCACUGUCUGUUUUUCUCUAUAAGAGUACAUUGUUUUUUCCGGCUUUCUCCUCCUACAGCUUUUGAGAUACAGCUUAGUAGGAUAUAUAGUAGGAUGUUUCUUCACAUAAUAAGAGUAUGGAUGUCCACAGGAUUUUAUUUGUUUUCAAGGCUCUAUAAGCACACACAAAAAUCAAAGGAUCAGGGCUUUAUUGCACUUUUUCUUAACUAUUAUCAGUAUUAAAGCCUUAAACACAGAGCCAAAAAAAAAAAUCACUGCAAGUAUAAGAUAGCCCUAAGCAUUGGUUUGAGCAGAAUUUUUAGCCAAAAAAUUCCGAUAGACUUUAUAUAAACAUGUACCACCACCAAAUUGGGCCAGAAAAAAACCAUACUUGAAAGUAGAAAGUAUUUAAAACAGAAUAGGCAUAACUAAGAUGUAAAUAUCAAAAUAUAUAGAAUAUAGUUUGGUAAUUGAGUUUUAUUUGAAAGGUGUAUAUAGUACUGGCGAUUCUUGUAGAACACAUUGAAAUGUAUAAAUGAAUUCUAAAAUUGAAACCACAUAUUGCAUGUUUCUGAAAAGGGUCUGGUUUGGUGUAUCUAAAGUUUGGGUAGCCAGCACAGUCUGAUGUGUAAAUGACCUUCUGCCGUUGUCUGUUGUCUGUUCUAUAUUCCGGUUGUUGUCUCUUUGACACAUUCUCAAUUUUAUCAUCAUUAUCUCCUAAACUAUAUGAGAUAUCUUAUAAACUGUAUAAGAUAUCUUUUUAACUAUAUAAGAUAUCUUGUAUGGCAUGUGAUACGGAUUUCGUCAUGUUUUGUACUCUUUAUCAUAUAUUUAAACAGGAGAGUGAAUAUCAACUGCUUUCUGACCCCUAGCACCUGAGAUUUACUUCUGUUUUGAAAGCGUUAAAGAGAAAUGCUUAAUUAUUUAUUGGAAGCACCUGUGUUACCUUACAGUUUGAGUCAUGUUGUUCAUAGAAUUAUUUUGUUUAUUUUUAUUUUUUGUGUGUUUUGUAUGGUAUUUCAUUGAGAUCUUUUUUAUAGUUGCAUUUCGUGUGCCAGAAUAUGAACGCUUGAUGUCUGUGACAUAACAUGCCAAACAAUGAUGCAAUUCAAUAAAUGGCUUCAUGCCCUAAUGACCGUUUUAUUUUGUCUGAAUCACUACUGUCACAAAGGUGAAAUCCGAGUAGGAGUGUGAUAAAGGGUACUCAUCAAAGUUGAGCAAUACAGAUUAAACAGCAGGCUAUUUAUCAAAUAGAAUGAAAUUCAAAACAGUGUGGCUGUGGCCAUUGAUUGACACAUUAAAUUCAUCCAUUGACUGGAACAAUUUACGUGAACGUUCGUCUGCAACAACCACUGUUCACGACGUACCUACGAUAGACAUUUAAACUGUGGGGUCCCCAAAGGUUUCUUAACGACUUUAAUUAUAAAAUAAUUCGAAAAAUUAAUCAGGAAUAACCUUUAUGUUUUGAUUUAUAUAAUUGAUAUAAAUCGAAACAUCCUGUUAUUUCUGAUUAUUUUUUCGAAUUACUUUAUUAAGGUGUUGAGAACCUUUGGUGAUCCCAUAGUUUAAGUGUCUUUAAAAAGUACAUAGUGAGCAGUGGUCGUUACAUACAAAUGUUCACCUAAAUUGUCCCAGUCAAUGGAUGAAUUUAAUGUGUCAAUCAAUGGCCACAGCCACACUGUUUUGAAUUUCAUUCUAUAUAAAACUACUGUUUUUAAUAUUACAUAUAUGAUACAAAUAUAUAUCUAUAUGUUUAUUGUUUCAGGAUGUAAUGAAGUAACAAUAGUGAAGGUUUUAGCAAGCAGGUACUGAAAGAACUUCAAAAGGUUAAUCCUACAGCUGUCUGGUGAUGUUGAAAGAAAUCCAGGACCUACAAUGGUAUCGAUCACCCCAAAAAAUGCUAUGUUUGAGACUGAAGUAUAUUUAGGAUUAGUUGCUCUGAAAAAACAAGCACUUUAAUUUAACAACUUCAUCAAAAUCCAUUUAAUUAAGGCAUAUUGGAUAAUGUUUCAAUUCAUCUUUAACAUAAUUUUCAUUGAAAUUUUAUGUUUUAUUAACCAAUAGAAAACUGGUUAGUACUCUGUUCAAGUAAGGCAGACUGGACAUGCUGCCAUGAACAGUUUCCAUGGGAUAACUUAUGAAACAUUUAAUCAACUCAGAAAUGACACAAAACUGUCUUCUCACAGUUAUUGUUAUAGACCUGGUUACAUGACAUAUUAUGGUAUACCGUUGUCUGUUCAUCCAUCGUCAACAUGUCAGACAUUAACUCAAAAAGGCUUAAACCAAUUUGCCUAAAACUUUGGUGAAUCGUUUAUAUUUAUUGAGGUGAGAUCCUUUAUUUUUAUAAAUUUUAGAUUUUAAGUUUCUGAGUUAUAGGGUUUUAUUAAUUAAAAAUAGGGAAAUUUUCCAGUUUUCUGACAAUCAUUUAAAAAGACUUUUCACCAACUUGCAAGAAAUUUUGGUGAAUUGUUUAUAUCUUUUGACAUAAACUCCCUUUCAAUUUUUAUAAAUUUUAAAUUUUUUGUGUUUCCCAUUUACAGGGUUUUAAUCAUUAAAAAAAGGGAAUUUUCCAGUUUUCAAACAAUAGCUCAAAAAUACUUUCAGCAGCUCUUAUUGAACUUUGGUGAAUUGUUUAUAUCUAUUGAUGUAAGGUCCUUUUAGAAUUAUAUAAAUUUUAGAUUUUAUAGUUCAGAGUUAUGGGGUUUUAUUCAUUACAAAAGGGGGAAUUUUCCAGUUAUUGGACAAUAACUCAAAAAUACUUUCAGCAAUUCCAUAGGCGGAUCCAGGGGGGCCCUGGGGGACCCGGGUCCCCCCUUUCGUGGUAAAAAUUUGGUUGAUUAUAUAGGGAAUCACUGAUGCAUGACUGGAGUGGGCCCCCCUUAGGAAAAGUUCUGGAUCCGCCACUGAAUUCUCAUGAAACUUUGGUGAAAUUUCGCUACUUGUAGCAUUUUAUUCUUCUGAAUCCAAAAUUUUAAAAAAUACUGAAAUAAUUCUGAAAUAAUUGUUUCUCUGUACUGUAUGCUAAUUCUAUUGAAGAUAAUUGUUUAAAGUGACUCCUGACAUGAUAUAAUCUUGUACUUAUUAUAAACCCCACAAAGUUUUUGGAGUGAAUAUAUGAAUCACUCUGUCUGUCUGUCUGUUUCAUAUGUCUUGUAAACUUAACUCCUCCGUAAUGUAUGUACCAAUAAGAUGAAACUUUACAGAGUCUAAAUUAUUUCAAGGGAGAUAAUUGAAUUUACUUAGUUUAACAUUGCAAUAAGUGGCAACAGGUCUCGUAAGUGCAACUCAAAUACUCACCUAGUUCCAUUAUUUGCAUUGAUUGAUUUUGAAACUUAACACUGUUGCAGUACACAACCUAAGACUUGAGUAUGUAGGAAAUAGUCCAGAUCCAAUACUUUUCAAGGGAGAUAAUUGAACCUAAUUAGUUUAAUAUUGCAAUAAGUGGCAACAGGACCUGUAAGUGCAACUAUGUUUAAUUACCUUGAUGGAUAUUGAUGUAAAUUUACACAGUAGACUGACACCACCAGAGAAUGUAUAUGAAGGAAAUAAUCCUGGUCUGAAAUAUUUUAAGGGGGAAAUGGAUCUUAAUUGUUUAAUGUUGCAAUAUGUUGCAACAGUGUUUAGUAAGAUAAGUGGAUGUUCUCCUUAUCUGCUUUAUCAAUAUUUUUGAAAUUUUAUAUCAAGUGCAGUACACCGCCUGGGAAUGUGCAUGAAGGAAAAUCAUAUUUGUCUGAAAUAUUUCAGAAGAUGAAUUGGAAUGGGGUGGGGUAUCCUUUAGUGGGUUGACUCCUAGUUUUAUGCAAUACACUCAGAAUGGCAAAUACUAUCCAUGCUGUUCUGUGUUCACUCUUGUUUCAAACUAGGAUCACAAAAGUCCUUGUUAUAUUCUUUACAUAUAUUACGAAGUUAGAUCUCCACAAAAGUACAGGUGAAUCAGGAGUCUUAACAUAUCUAUGUUUUAGUAACUAGAAUACAAGUUUUUAUUGUUGCGAUACUCACCCAGUUGCAUUACAUUUAAAUUUAAUCAGAGAAUUACUUUUUAUAAGAACAUUUGAAACAUCAAAUAAACAUAGGGGGCCUCUGCCUUCUGUUCUUUAAAAAUAAAUACAAAACUCAAAGUGUCCUAUCAAAUCAAUGUAAUUAUCUGCCCUUGAUUUUAAAAGAAUAUAUUUUUUUUAAUUUAAAUACACUUUAUCACACUUAAUUUUUUGAUAGCUUGAUCCAACUUCCAAGCUUAAGAUGUUCCAGUCAUAUAAUAUUGCAUUAUACUUUGUAAAAUUUUAAAUCAAAAAAGAGAUUUUUUGCAACAUGCCUAAAACCAGAACUAAGACAUCAUUCCAACUUGACUUAAUAUAUCUUUGGAAAAGUCAGUUAUCUGGAAUGUGAUCUGAACAGUUCAACUUUUUUUUUCAUUUUAUAAUGUAUGUUUAUUUCAAUAAUUGAACCAGUUUUUGUGAAUUUUACAUGAAAAAAAUUGUAUUUUAGGUUUAUCAAGACUUCUUAGUGCUUGCCAUACAAGUGUCAAAGAGUGAAGGGCAAGAAUGGCUUUAAAGAACAGAGAAGACUUGUUUUAUUGCACUUAGUUUUGAGCUUAUGUUUGAUAUUUUACCACUACGAUAGAGUUAUGUAAAUUUAUGUAAUGUAUUGUUCUAAUAUACCGAUCUGUUUUGUAAUUGCUCCUUUUUAGAUA